ensembl:lncRNA
CCUGAACCAGAACGGAAUCUGUACAUUUUCUAAAAUGAUAGAACUGGCACAAAAUCAGAUUGCUGAACUCUCGAAACAAACUAAUGUUUCAUUCAGUCCAAGUCCUGGUUGUAAGGUUCAUGCAAGCUCCUGUAGCAGAAAACAUUUGGAGCUCCUAAGGAAAGACGGCUAUCUUAAAUAUAGAAUGUAGUUAGGAGGCCAUGUAUGAAGUCUUUUGCUGAACUGAGAGCGAGCGAGUGAGCAUGUGAGCCCUGUCAUUAUGCAGCAUCAGCUGUGGAUCCCUGCCUGGUUAACCCACAGGUCUCAAGGCCCUGGAAGACAACAUUAGCAAUGAACCAGGCUUCCACAUUUCCUGCCUCCUCUUAAUUCAUAACAUUUCCAAACUGCUAAGCUGCUCCUAGAAGCCUGUACCAUUGCCUUGUAGGGAAAGCGCUGGCAGAAUCUCUUUUCAUUCGUGUUGCAUAAGAACAUCGUCAUCAUUUCAAUGAUUUAACCCUGAUUAAAUUUAGCUGUCAGCCUUUAAAGUUCUCUGAGACGCUUUCAAACCCAGAAAGGGAAGAGGCAGGUUCUCUGCCAUCCCUUCCCUCCUACCUUCACGCAAGCUCCUUUCUGAGCAGCUGGGGGAGGCCCGCGUCAUUCAAAGAGUAAUCCUCUGCCAGGCUGGGGGAUGCGGGCUUCGAAUGGAUUCUUCUGCCCUGCAGUCCUGCUGGGGAAGGUGGUGGCGGGACCUCCCCAACUGCCUGCCACUUUCGCAUCGCUCUAGUUUAAAUUGCGACCUUCAAUUUCUCGCUUCUCAGCAGAACACUUUGUGACAGAUGAAAAAGAUGGCAAUGUGAUAGGUGGAAGGGGAGAAGUGAGGACCACCGUGUCGACCAGGAACAGGAAAAGCCUGGCUUCCAGUCACACUUAAGCUAGCUGAGAACACUCAGGAAAGUCCUGCGAGCUCCAUCAUCCUCAGUUUUCUCAUCUGUGAAAUUAGGAUCAUACCUGCUCAGUCCUUCUCCCAGGACCAAAUGAGAUCAUGCACAGAACACGCUCUGCAAAACCAUCGAGCUUUUCACAAAUGCAAGGUACUCAUUAAAAGAUUCCGCACGAGAAAAAAAAAGAAAUACUGAAAUAAGUCACUGGAAGUAAAAGCUUCCCAGGAAGAUUUUCCUUUUUUGAAUUUAUUUGAAAUCAACAAUUUCCUGUUUUGAUUUUCCUUGUCUGAAGGGUUUGUCUAUUUGUUGCUUCACACAAACAACCGUUUCUACCUGGAAAGUAAGGACAUCAGAAUCGCCUUAUUCCGUUGGUUAGACCCAGGGGCAACACGUGCGCCGAGCAGACCUGGAAUCCACCCUCACUGGAAUAGAAGCUCCUUCUAGGCAACACCUCGUCUUCCUAGUUCCCCAGUGCCUGGUACGGGAUAUAGUGCUUGGCAUGAUGCGUCCUGAACAAGUGUUGAAUGACAGAAUACACAGAGGUUCUUCCCCCUGAGGAUGCCGGAGUGGCACCUGCAGCAAAAACCAACAGAAAAAGAAGAAGAAGUUUCAACAGGUUGCGGAGGACUCUGGUCAAUGUUUCAGGAAAUUCCUCUCCUAUGCACCCUUUCCCCCUCUCCCUCUCGCUCCCUAAACUCCAUGAGGAAAAGGCUGGUUACUGCUAAUUUAGGAUAUGUUUAAAACCAAAGCUGCAAAUAACUUCAAAAGAACGUCUAGGGGGCCAGCCUGGUGGCGUAGUGGUUGUGGUAGUUAAGUUCAGGAGCUCUGCUUAGGCGGCCUGGGUUCAUGGGUGUGGAUCCCAGUGUGGACCUACACACCGCUCACCAAGCCAUGCUGAGGCGGCGUCCCACAUACAAAAUAGAGGACGAUUGGCACUGAUGUUAGCCCAGGGACAACCUUCCUCAAGCAAAAAGCGGAAGAUUGGCAACAGAUGUUAGCUUAGGGCCAAUCUUCCUCGCCAAAAAAAAAAAAAGAAGAAGAAAAAGAAUUUCACAUCUUAGGAAUACAAAAUGCCAUAGCCAGGAGACACUGCUUAUAGGAAAGUAAAAUACAGUCUGACUUUUUUUCAGUAGCUGUCAUGCAGAAACAGUGGUUCCAGUUGACUUUAAAAUUGCUGCCUAAAUGAAGGAAUGAGGAUCUUCUGGGAAAUGUAGGCUCCUAAUGGAGGGUUGCGGUUUGAAAAGGUUCCCACGCAGUGAUUUUUUAAAUGCCUAUUGACCUAACUGCAGUGGCUGCUCUUCCAUCAUAAUCUGUUAUAUAAUUACUGUGCAACUUUGGCGCUCCCUCUUACAAGACUGAUUUAAACAUACCCACCUAAGCCAGCACCACUGACCUUUUUCUAGAAUCUCUGGGCCCUAUUUGAAUUGCACUGGCAGAUCUAGUGAAUCUGGUGAUUUCAACUAAAUUAACCCAGGGAGAAUUGGCCCUGGGGCUCUUUUGCCUUCCCAGCCUUGUGAGGGUUGCUGUAAAGCCAACAUCUGGGAUUUGAAUGGCUUGAGAAAAACUGGACUUGGUGACAUAGUAGGUAUUUGCCCCCAAGUGACUCUCCCCACCUCCCAAAUUUUGCCCUGUUGUGUUGCCUAUUGGUGUCUGUGACAUCUGAGAAGCUGUUUUAGUCCGAAUUGUGUGAUGGAAAGAAUAGAAGCUGAGUCUGGAUAUCUUAAGCAAACAAGUGAAUUUAUUGGAAGGAUAUAGAGGAGCUCACAGAACAGAAGGAGAAGCUGAGAAGCCGC